AGAGCCGGCUGUCCCUGCUGCUGUCCCUGUCCCUGCUGGGUUCCGUCACCGUGCUGGCAGCGGCCGCGUGGGGCAUUUAUUACAUGAAAAGCACCGCCUGUAAGAAGGGAGAGUACAACGUGCGCGACGCCGAGGGUUCCUCUGAGGCCUCCCGCCUACACCGGGGGGACAGCGGGGGACAACGGGAGCUGUUUGGGAUCCCUCUCACCCCCACCUGAGGGACCACAGCACCCGGGACCCCCGGAGCACGGGGAGGUGGGGGACAGCGUGGUGACACCCGGCCCGAGGGAUGGUGGUGGGUGUCACCGUGCUGUGCCUGUGGUGGUGGUGGCUGUCACCGCGUUGUUCGCAAGAAGCUGUGUUGGUUGUCGUCGUAUGUCCCCAAGAAAUGGUGUUGGUUGUCUCCAAGGAACGGUGUUGUUGGAUGUCUCCAAGAAACGGUGUUGGAUGUCACUGUGCUGUCACCAAGGAACAGUGUUGUUGGAUGUCCCCAAGGAACGGUGUUGGAUGUCUCCAAGGAACGGUGUUGGAUGUCACUGUGCUGUCACCAAGGAACAGUGUUGUUGGAUGUCUCCAAGGAACGGUGUUGUUGGAUGUCCCCAAGGAACGGUGUUGGAUGUCCCCAAAGAACAGUGUUGGAUGUCACAUAAACCGUCCCCAAGGAACAGCCUUGGGUGUCACCAAACCGUCCCCAAGGAAUGGUGUUGUUGGAUGUCCCCAAGGAGCGGUGUUGGAUGUCACCAUACCGCCUCCAAGAAACUGUGUUGAUACCCCUAAGGAACGGUGUUGGAUGUCACCAAAUGUCCCCAAGGAACGCGGCGCUGGGUGUCACCGCUCCGUCCCCGUGCCUCGGUCUUGGAUUCAGCCCCAUUUUGUGGCCAAUGUCGUUUUUUAACCGCUUUGCUUUGCAUUUUAUGGAGGUUACUGGGANNNNNNNNNNNNNNNNNNNNNNNNNNNNNNNNNNNNNNNNNNNNNNNNNNNGAUUAAAAAUGAAAAUUUUAUUGAGAAGGAUGAAAGUGGGGCCACGUCCCGGUCCCAAACCCCACCCCAUACCCCCACCCCACACUCGGUGCCGUUCAGCACCCACUGCCCCCCAGCACUGCCCCGAUGGCGGUGGAAGCACAGUGAGGAGUCUGGGGGGG
rnacentral:lncRNA from 1 species